rnacentral:tRNA from 1 species
GUACAUAUAGCUCAGUGGUAGAGUGUGUGCUUAGCAUGCACGAGGUCCUGGGUUCAAUCCCUGGUACAUUCA